GGAGCCAGGAAAUUUCCAUUGGGGUGGCCAGGAUGGGGCCAGUGAUAAUUUUUGGGUGGCAAGCAUUUGUCUCACCAGGAGAUGCAGAGCUAUUUAAGACACAUACAGCAAACAUCUCAACAUUAUUCGGAAUUCAGGUGAAGGUGCAAUAGAAAAGUAUUCAAUAUAUUUAAAUUGUUCUUAUACCUAAAGGCAAAGUAACAAAGAAGCUAAAACUUAAAAAAGAAUAUACACUUAUUCUGUAUUCAUACUUGUUUUUAAACUGUGUUGAUUUACCGAUUGCUAUUUGUGUUUUUAUUUGUAUUGUACGACUGAGUCGAACAAUGGUUGUACAGAUAUGCAUUGACAGCAAGGUAUUCUAUUUUAAAGUAGAGAUGCCCUCAGUUUAUUGCGACAAGCCAAGUCAAUUCUCUCAGUGUAUCAUCAGGAAUACAAAACAAGGAUACAAAAUUAGAAGUGCAAUGUUUUUUUAAUCAAGUCUGAUCACAAUAUGGAUUUAUCUUUAAAUAACAAAAAGUAUAAUACUGAGCUAAUGUAUAGAAAUAUGAAAAUAAAUAAAAUAACAUCCUGAAUACAAUUUGCUGAAUUCCAACAAAUGUAAAUAUGACAAGCAUUUACAGCCUGUUUAAAUAAGCAGUGUCAAUUUUUCUUCAAUUCGAUCCAUAAACAUCUAUCAAACACAUAAUAACAAACAUCAUAUCACAAUGGGUAUUAGGCAGAGUCUGCAUGAUUAGAUUCAAGUUUGAGCCACAUUUACACAUAUCAGACAGAGAAUCCAAACAGUGACAUCUCAUUAAAACUGAACACUUCAAUGACUGUCCUUAAAGAUCUAUCGGUUCUUGAUUUGGAAAUGUCUGUUUAAAAAUGGAAAAAAAGGCAUAUUCAAUUAUUAAAUUACAGCAGAGAUUAAUAACAAUCAAGAUAAACUCAUACAUUGGAGUGUACUAUCCCAUGUUACAUCUAAUCGAUUAUCUGAACACUAUAAUCAGCUUAAAACGUUAUAGAUUUGAGGCCAUUCAUCCAACUCUACUCCAGUUGAGGUGAGUGGUAUGACUCAUACCUGUUUAUGAAUUAUCAGGGCACUGUAUCAGAUUGGGCAAAACUGAAGUGGAAUUAAAGUGUCCAGUAUGUGUGAAAAAGUGAGUAUACCUGGAGGUCCACUUGGGCCGCCACUCGUUGUUGGAGGCUCCUCUCUCUCGCUGUCUGAAUCUUCUGUGGGAAUCUAAAUAUAUAUAUUAAAAACAUUAAUAGGUGUUUAAAGUAUUUUCCACAAGGUGUAAUGAUCCACUAUCCAAGUAUUUCACAGAUACAAAAGAUUAAAAUUCAUUUUCUACAGCAUUAAACAUAUACAAUAUAAACUUGUGGACAAUAUCGAUGGAAAAGUUAGCAGAAGAGUACAACAUACAAUGUAAGAUUGACAAUUUACCUGGGGAUCCACUGGGGCCACUCCUCAGGGAGGACUCUUCUGUCCUGCUCUCAAUCAAUCUUUCAGAAACAUCAAAAAUAAUUACAAUAAGGUGUACAGGUAAUUUUCCUAAAGGUUUUAUAAUGCAUGCUAUAUAGUGUUUAACAAACACACUAUAAGCUAAAGUAUAAUAUUAGUGAAAGUGUCUCUGGAUAGCAAAUACAAAUAUGCCAUACUUUAAUGUACUGAAAAAACGAACUGAUAUGUUUUACAAUGCACUUUCAACCUGACCUGUAUAUGAAUAGACAAACUUUAAGCCAAUUGUAAAUAAGAUAACCUCAUACCAAGCUGUACUAUAUGUGAGUCUCUAUACUGUAUACCUGGAGGUCCAUUUAAGUUGCUGCUCUCUGGGGGCUCCUCAUCCUCGCUCUCUUCCUGUUUUUUCUCCAUCUCACCCUCAUUCUUUGCCUUAGCUGACUUCUUUCCACUUGCCCUGAAGAAGGACGCUAUGUCUGCCUUCUUCCUCUUCAUUAUUUUUCCCUCUUUAAUGACACUUAUCCAAAAUGCAGCAUAAAUACUGUAUAUACCUGACACAAUCAUAACACGUUCUGGCAACAAUAGCAGUUAACAGCAAAUAACUAGAUCGAAAGUCGAUCCGAAGUUGCAAAAACAAAUACGUGUAGAGACUAGAGAGAGAUUAUAUUAAAACAAUGUACACAAUCUCGCAACGUAGUUAUCAAAUACAGCAUAGCAUAUACGACGCUGAAGUUGGCAUCCGAUUCGCAGCAUCCGAUUCGGCAGCUGGUCCACUUUAAAUCGGUCCUGAUUGAAAACCACUACACCUAGACUCUUCAAAUCUGGACUAAAUUUUCACAGUGAGGCUAUACAUUAUAUAAAACAUAGUUACAGAUUUGUGAAA